CCUACGGGUGGCAGCAGUGAGGAAUAUUGGUCAAUGGACGAAAGUGUGAACCAGCCACGCCGCGUGAAGGAUGACUGCCCUCUGGGUUGUAAACUGCUUUUAUAGGGGAGUAAAUGCUUAUACGUGUGUGUGUUUGUAUUUACCGUACGAAUAAGGAUCGGCUAACUCCGUUCCAGCAGCCGCGGGAAGACGGAGGGUACGAGCGUUAUCCGGAGUGAUUGGGUGUAAAGGGCGCGUAGGUGGAGUGGUAAGUCAGUUGUGAAAGUCUGCGGCUCAACCGUAGAAUUGCAGCUGAUACUGGAAGUCUAGAGUACAGGAGAGGUGGGCGGAAUGCGUGGUGUAGCGGUGAAAUGCGUAGAUAUCACGAAGAACACCGAUAGCGAAGGCAGCUAACUGGCCUGCAACUGACGCUGAGGUGCGAAAGCGUGGGUAGCAAACAGGAUUAGAUACCCGUGUAGUC
rnacentral:rRNA from 1 species